AACGAACGCUGGCGGCAGGCUUAACACAUGCAAGUCGAACGCCCCGCAAGGGGAGUGGCAGACGGGUGAGUAACGCGUGGGAACAUACCCUUUUCUACGGAAUAGCUCUGGGAAACUGGAAUUAAUACCGUAUACGCCCUACGGGGGAAAGAUUUAUCGGGGAAGGAUUGGCCCGCGUUGUAUUAGCUAGUUGGUGGGGUAAAGGCCUACCAAGGCGACGAUCCAUAGCUGGUCUGAGAGGAUGAUCAGCCACAUUGGGACUGAGACACGGCCCAAACUCCUACGGGAGGCAGCAGUGGGGGAUAUUGGACAAUGGGCGCAAGCCUGAUCCAGCCAUGCCGCGUGAGUGAUGAGGGCCUUAGGGUUGUAAAGCUCUUUCACCGAUGAAGAUAAUGACGGUAGUCGGAGAAGAAGCCCCGGCUAACUUCGUGCCAGCCGCCGCGGUAA
rnacentral:rRNA from 1 species